AGAAUACUUGAAAUUUUCCUUUGUAAAUACAUUGUUAUGAUUUUCUAAUCUUCAUUGUUGUUAAUAUAAUUAUAAACUAGAACAUAAUGAUCCCUGGAUUAUUACAAAUUCAAAAUGACUAGCAUCCAAACUAAUGUGGAAAUGAACCUCAUUUUAAAAAUGGGUAAUAGACUAUUCAGGCAUUUGAUUGUCGAGAACCAUUUUGUAAACACUACAUCUAAAUUAAAAUCUAUUGCACUAAUACUGAAGAAGACAUUUGGGAUAUUUCCUUAAAGUUCUCUCAGUCUUAAUUUCUCCAUUGUUUUGUUUCCGUGUUUACAAUGUUUGUUUCUGUCUCUAUGCCUCUCACUCUACAUUCUCAUACUCAUAUCCACAUACACAUCUAAGUACAGAUUCACUUACAUGUAUGUAUGUUAUAUGUACGUGUAUUAGUAAGGUAGAAAGAAGAUGGGGAGAAGUGGACCGAUCUGAGUAGGAUUGGGGAGGUGAUACUAAUGGUUGCUACUGAUAGAAUGGCUGUUGUGAGUGAGAGGCAGUUUUGAGGAUGACUCUGGGGCUUCGGCUUACCUGGCUAUAUUUAUGUGAGUGUCAUUGGCUAUAAUAGGGAGGGAACUCAGGAAAGGACAAAGUAUGAGGGGGAAAGAAUGUUAAUUUAGUCUUAAGCAGGUUGAGUUUGAGAUGCCUUUAAAACAGUCAAGGGAAAUUAUAUUGAACAUUGCUAUUUGAAAUUGAGUGGCCUGGAGAUAUAGAUUUGGAGUCAUCAGCAAAUGGAUGGUAAUUAAAGCUGUGGAAAUGAGUAAGAUUACUGAACCUUUGAAGAAUAAAUCUGUGCUUGAUUUGGGGGUUAUAAAUCUACAAAAUGAGAUUGAUAUAACCUAAAAGCCAGAUGAAACUAGCUUUUCCUCUCAUACGUAUAUCAGUAGUUACAGAAAUAAGAUCAAGGGUGAUUGACAGGUCAAAUAAGAUUAAAAGAAUGUUUAUUGGAUUUAGUGACACAAGGGGAUCAUUGGUGAUCUUUGCAACAGUUGUAUUUUCUUAAUACAUAGUCCUUAUAUUUCUUCAUCCCCAAAUCCUUUCUUGAUCCCUUAGUUCAUACUAAACAAAAUCUAUACUUUUCCACUUGGUGUUUAACUCCCUUUAUGAUUUAAUAGAAUACUAAUUUUAAAGCCUAUGCCACCCAGCUUAUGAGCACAUACCUGAAACUCUAGCCAAACUCGCUACCUUGCCAUUCCUUCUACAGUUGUUUUCCUGUGGUCUCUUUUCUCAUGCUUUUUUCAUUCACUGUUACUGAAAUGUUAUUGGUCUUUGGAGACCCAAACUAAACCUCGUUGAUGUGUUCUUCCCUGGUUGUUGCCCACCAGAUGGGCUCACAAGUCUGAACUUCCAAAUACUUUCUUUUCACAUCUCAGAUGAUACAUGUCACAAAUGAUCUUACAUUUUAAAUACUUUGUACUUGAUUAUGCGUAUUAUGAGUGCCUUGAGAUUUGAGCUUUUUUUCGCUGAUGUUAUAGCUUCUAAAGCACCUAAUAUUUUUUGAGUAAGUGGAUAAAAUUUAGAAUAUAUACUUCAUAGAAUACAAUCUAUAUGUUACUCACCUGAAGACAUAGUUUCAAUUUCUUUUAGUCCUUAUAAUAACUGUAUGAAAUAGUUCCAUUUCAUAGAUAUGAAAAUUUGUAGUUUAUAGAGGCAUAUUUUUAAAAUUCAUCUUUGGGCUAGGGUUUAUUACUUAUAUUUAAAUAGAGGGAUUCCCAAGAUUUUAAAAAGAAGGCUCAUUGAAAGGUUAGCAUCUGAAAGGAAGCAUGUACAUGCAUGCAUGAUAUAUGUGUGUAAACUUUUUUUUUUGGACAGCCACAAUUGAUUUCAAAGUAAAAAUUGUUAACAUUUGUCAUGGAUUGAAUGGGAAACAAAUAGUUUUGAUUUCUUGAAAUAUCCUAAUUGACUUUUAUAUUGUUAGGAUUUAAUUUAAAGUCUUGUUAAACUGUCUAGAAAUUUAGGUAAUGAACUAAAGUAUAUAGGCUCAUUCAUUUAUAGUUUUCCUCACUUUUUCCUUUUUCAUUGCCUGAUACAGUUUUUUGGUGUCUAAGGUGAUGAAAGAAAAGUAUACAACAGUUUUUAAUAUACAGCAGUUUACUGUAUGUGAGGCAUUGCUGUACUCAGUGCUGUAGAAAUGUUAGGAUAUAUCUCUGGUGUAGAAAAUAUCCAAGUGGACAAUACUGUAAUUCAAGCAUAAUAAAAUAAGUAUAAGAAAUAUACUAU